GAUCUUGUCGCCUGGUUCUGAUGGUGUCUUGGUUCCCGGCUGGGGUUUUGUGUUUACCACGAGCGUUGCCUGCUGUCGGGGAGCUGCGUGUGUUUCACAACAAACAGGGAGCCAGGGAGACCACCCUGCGGGGCUGCCCCUUCCCUCAGCGCUUUCUGCUUGGGUCGCUGGCGUCUUGCAGUGCCUUCGUUCGUCUGUGGUGUGAGGUGCUGGUCCAGGCUUACGCGCUAACAGUGAAUUAGAAGGAGAAAACGCUCUGCGAGUGCAGCGGAAGCCUGAGUCGAAGCUGUUAAAGAGGCCAAGAAUUCCCAAGCUUUCCCAGGCAAACGGGGAAGAACACUGGGAUGCCUUUUCCUCCUCCUCUGUCCAUCUGCAGGCCAAGUGUGCAUCAGUCACAGGCAAACUCUGAAUUGAGCUUUGUGCAAGUCUCUGGAAAGAGACCCAAGAUCGUGUGAUGAGCAAAAGUGACAGUGCUGGAGGCAGCGACAUCUGCAGAGCCAGCCCCAUCCCUAUCUGCAGCAGAAUAUGUAUGGGGAUCCUUUAUGUGAACAAUCCACCCAGGGUAGAAUGGGGCUUUUGACAUCAGCUGAGACCCAGGCGGCCUUACAAUGAGAGGGCUGUUGGUCAAAGGAAGGACUGUUUAAUGAACUGAGAAUCUGAGGCCAGCUCUGGCCAUCUGCACUUGGAAUCAUUAGAGCAACUCUACUGUAACUGGCAACCUUGAAUAAUGCAGCAAAUUCAUAUUCCAAAAUUGUGAACUUUAAAAUUUUGUGUUUGUGUCUAUGAUGAAAAGCAUUAUAUAAACAUUUGAUACUACAAUUUUAUUAGUAAGGAAGGCUGAAAAAGUAUCUCUCUUUUGACUCUGAGGUCAAUAAUGAUAAUGGCUUUUCCCCUACACUGGGAUAGAAAUGUUCUGUCAAGGAUAUGAAAACACUUUAUGAAAAUGAAAUUCAUUAAAGCCCUUAAUAAUCAGGUAGGGAAGGCAGGUGCUCACAAUUGUCACCUGUUGGUGAGUGAACACCUUAGGCUCGGGGAGGACAAUGACUCAAGAACAAGGUCGAAUUGCAGGUGGGGGGUGAAGCUGAUCCCUAACAGUGUCCUCCAGCCCCUGGCACUGAGGAAGGACAUGGAGGGCUUGCAUCGACUUUUCCUGGCAGGCUUGUGAUUCCCAGCCAGAAUGCAGGUGGCAAUGUUGUGAUUCCUGGCGUAACCUUCAAUGCUUCAAUGAUAAUCUCUGCUGGUGCCAGGCACCAGCUGAGUGUCACUGUGCAGCUCCCAGGCUUAAGUGAUGCAUGCCGAGGUUUUCAGAGCAGUCUCUCAUUUAUUAGUUGUGUUGGAAAGAAAUCUGUACUACCUAACUGGGUACCUCUGGAUUUUAACAGCUGUGGUUUAUAAGAGAUAUGAGAGGGGGUUUGUUUUCAAAGUGCCUUUCACAAAGUAACACCUUAGACUGUAGUUUACAUUCCAUUCCAGUAGGAUAACUUGCAACACUUCUGUGCUCAGAAAUCCAACUGUGCAAGAAAAGUCAGGUUAUAUUUUCAUACAGCCCGUUCUGGCAAAUAUGCCUUCACACCACUUUCCCUCCUCCUCACCGCUAUUGGCAAUAGUCCCAAUGGAAGAGUUUUAUGUCAAAUGCUGAGUAUCUUGGAAGCUGUCCUGCACAGACACGACUGCUUGGCUGCGUGUUGGAGAGUCGCGGUUGGACUGGGAGACCAGGAAGGUCCCUUCUGGUCUGAGAUGUGAUGACUCUAGAACUAAUUAGUUUCAACUCAUAACACGAAAUGAUACUAGCUACCAUUUGGUGGGCUUUUUCUGUGUUCCAGGCUCUGUGCUAAGAUCUUAGCAUUACUCUAAUUACAAAAUCCCUGCCAAUAUUAUCCUCAGUUUACGCAAGAACAAAUGGGUUUAGGGAAAUCAAAAACUUGUCCAAUGACACAGAUUUAAGAUUUAGCAACUGAUGGCCACGUGGAAAUGGAUUACAGAUUAUUCUAAUUGGACACUCUAAACGUGCAAUUUAACCAGAAUGAAAUUUAGGGCUGCGUGCUGUGGCUCAUGCCUGUAAUCCUAGCACUUUGGGAAGCCAGGUGUAUCCCUUAAGCCCAGGAGUUUGAGAGCAACUUGGGCAACAUGGUGAAACCUGUAUCUACAAAAAAUACAAAAAUUAGCCAGGUGAGGUGGUGUAUGCCUGUAGUUCCAGCUACUUGGGAGGCUGAGAGAUGGGAGGAUUGGUUGAGCCUAGGAGGUCGAGGCUGCUGUGAGCUGUGAUGGUUCCACUGCACUCCAGCCUGGGCGACAGAGACAGACUCCAUCUCAAAAAAAAAAAAAAAAAAAGUAGCUACCUUGUGGUUGCACUCGUCUGAGACUAGCUCAUGGCUCCAGCUCUCAGGGUGGUGAGUAAUGAUUCUGUGGUCAGACGCAGUUUUGAAGUCAGGCAAGAAAACCUUCAACAAGAGUUAGAGAUGUCCUGUCUAUGAAUUUCUCCUCUAGGCUUAGGGAUAGCCCUGGGAUUCAUGUCAUGCCAGUUAGGGAUCCACUCAUUGUAAGCAAUACAAGUGCCCCCGAAGAGACAGUGCAUUAAUUGUCACCCCUUAGGAGCAUUGUGUGAAUUAGUGUGAUUUAGCACAUGCCCAGAGGGAUGAAACUCUAGCUCCAUAGGGUAGGUCCUGAUUACUCCUGGAGCAGGCAGCCAGCUCAGCUCAUGGGGAGCUCUGAGAAGUCUCUCAAUGCCUCGCAUGCAGCCCCUGCUCAGGAGUCAUGUGUCACUUCACAGUCUUGCUUUCCAGUGGGUCAAAGCAUGAUGUUUAUGAGAAACAAAUACACAAAAUUCUGACUUGUGUGAAUACAGAACACGUGCAAUAAAACGACUGCAAUCUAUUUUUAAAAUGUGGUCUGAGAAGUCAGGUUUAAUAUGACUAUGUAAUAUAUAAACAAUAUAUUUUCCACAGAAAGGAAAAUAUAAAUAAUAAAAUAUGUCUAUUUCUUUUUUUUGGUGGAAAAUUACUCCCACAAUUUGGUCCCAAGGGGGUCUUAAUUUGUCAUCAGGUCUGUGGCUAAAUGUCUUAUAAAGGAAUGCUUCUUUCUUUCGAGAAGUGUACAGGAACAGUCUGCACUGACUGCUUUUACCUGUAAAUGUUUUGAGAAUUCAGAAGUCACUUUCCUUCCACAAUAGGUGCUAGGCAUUUUAUUUAAAUAAAGCAAAAACAUUUCUGUCAUAAAGAAGGUGUUAAUAACCUCAAAGCUAUGCGAAAUAUACUAGUACAAUCUAAUACUCAUGGUGAAAAAUACAGUAAUUAAGAGCAAUUCAAGUUUUUUUGUUUUGGUUUAACUUCAGAAUUAAAAUAAACUCAGAAUUAAAAAAAUAAAAAAUGGUUUUAUUACAUGUCAGAGUAUUGAGAUACAAAAUAUAUACCAGAU
rnacentral:lncRNA from 10 species